rnacentral:rRNA from 1 species
AUUGAACGCUUGCGGCAGGCCUAACACAUGCAAGUCGAGCGAGCGGCGGACGGGUGAGUAAUGUCUGGGAAACUGCCUGAUGGAGGGGGAUAACUACUGGAAACGGUAGCUAAUACCGCAUACCAUCAGAUGUGCCCAGAUUGGAUUAGCUAGUAGGUGGGGUAACGGCUCACCUAGGCGACGGUCCCUAGCUGGUCUUAGAGGAUGACCAGCCAGACUGGAACGGAGACACGGUCCAGACUCCUACGGGAGGCAGCCGUGGGGAAUAUGGCACAAUGGGCGCAAGCCUGAUGCAGCCAUGCGGCGUGUGUGAAGAAGUGCUUCGGGUUGUAAAGCACGUUCAGCGGGGAGGCGUUACCCGCAGAAGAAGCACCGGCUAACUCCGUGCCAGCCGCCGCGGUAAUAC